CAUUCAGAUGGCAGGCGUGCACACCAGCUGCAAAGAAGUAUGGAAAUGUUCUCUGACUGGUUUGUGCCUUAAGAAACCCUGUCUCAUAACAUGGAAAAUUACUGAACGGAGGAUAGAAUGCCUUAUGAUUUAGGAUCUGCACUGGGAAGGUCUAAAGGUCAGAGGUGGAAACUUGCAAGUCUGUGCCAGAGGGGUGAAGGAUCUAUGCCAGUGGACUGAGAGCUCUGUACUGAAUCUAGGAAGCAGUGCUCAAAGUAAGGCACAGAGCUCCCUGGAAAAGUACCACAGCCAUCCUCAGCAACGAAUGGUUCCAAACUUCUUCAGUGAUUAAAACCGCAGUUUUUCUCAGCAACAACAAGGUCCUGAACGCCUUUGAUGAUGACAACAGCAAACUUCCUAUCAGGAAAGAAGUUUGACAACAACACCAUGGAGAACAAACAACACCAUGGAGAAUCAACAGCAGUACCUCUUCCUCCCUAGUUCUUCUUUUUAUCUUGGCAACAAUCCUCAGGAUUCUCCAGUAUCUCUUCUCCUAUUAUGAUGAUCAGCAGUGAAUCAGGAAACUAAAGAGAAACCUCCAUCCUGGGCUUCUACCCUUUGUCCCCAAAUAUCAUUUAUUUUUGUGGCUAGGCAAAGGCACCGAUCCUUCUGAGGAAGCUGGCCCUCAGUGAUUGUCAUGGAUCACUGGGAUGAAUCAGACAACUUAUACAUUUGUAAAAUGCUUUCAUAUCCACUCAGUUAAGAAUAUAAUUUAAAGGUAGAGAUUGGAUAUCCCAAUGUUUCCUUUUGUGAUUAAACCUUCUUUCAUGAGCAAA